rnacentral:rRNA from 1 species
CGGACGGGUGAGUAAUGUCUGGGAAACUGCCUGAUGGAGGGGGAUAACUACUGGAAACGGUAGCUAAUACCGCAUAACGUCGCAAGACCAAAGAGGGGGACCUUCGGGCCUCUUGCCAUCGGAUGUGCCCAGAUGGGAUUAGCUAGUAGGUGGGGUAACGGCUCACCUAGGCGACGAUCCCUAGCUGGUCUGAGAGGAUGACCAGCCACACUGGAACUGGGACACGGUCCAG